CGCCAGACUCCUACGGGAGGCAGCAGUGGGGAAUAUUGCACAAUGGGGGGAACCCUGAUGCAGCGACGCCGCGUGGGUGAAGGAGCACCUCGGUGCGUAAAGCCCUAUCGGCAGGGAAGAAGCAAGACGGUACCUGACUAAGAAGCCCCGGCUAACUACGUGCCAGCAGCCGCGGUAAUACGUAGGGGGCGAGCGUUAUCCGGAUUCACUGGGUGUAAAGGGAGCGUAGACGGCCAAGCAAGCCAGGGGUGAAAGCCCGGGGCCCAACCCCGGGACUGCCCUUGGAACUGCUUGGCUGGAGUGCGGGAGGGGCAGGCGGAAUUCCUGGUGUAGCGGUGAAAUGCGUAGAUAUCAGGAGGAACACCGGCGGCGAAGGCGGCCUGCUGGACCGCUACUGACGUUGAGGCUCGAAAGCGUGGGGAGCAAACAGGAUUAGAUACCCUCGUA
rnacentral:rRNA from 1 species